UUGAGCCGUAUGCGGGGAAACUCGCACGUACGGUUCUUAGGGGAGGGGUAGUCAGGAAUGGCUGCUCCUUACCCGAC
rnacentral:ncRNA from 1 species